GAGGACACGAGACACGAGUGCUCAACGAACACGCACGGCGGUUCGUUCGGUAGUUUCUUGGGGGUCGGGGGUUAGCGACGUAGCGUGCGGGAAGGAGUGUGUUUUCUCGUUGCCGUCGCCGUCGUGUGUUCUUUUGAGGGUCCGUUAGAACGGAUCUUGGAAUUUCCACAAAAUAUCCAUUAUUAUAAAUACUCGUCCCGUGCAUCAUUAGGAACGACAGUUUCGAAGGGCUGAACAUUUUUUCAUCUCCCCAACGCGUACGUGCGCGUAGAUUUGAAAAAAAAAGAACAGGUCCAGUGUGCCACGGCGACGAAGAGGCGCGCUCGACUCCUAAGUUGAUGAGAGGUGUGCGUGCGCGCGAGUGUGCGUGUUUGUAUAAGGAAAAAAACGAUCGCGCUGCGGGGGGGAAACGCAUAGAGUUUCUCAUGAAGUAAGUGCGAGUGAAAGAAGGAAAAAAUACAAGAGCGAUAGGGCGAUCGCGCGCGGAGGAGGGAGAAAGAAUUAGUUGAGGAGGUAAGAAAAAAGAGUGAGUAGUGGGCCACGCGAUUUUGCACCACGCGCAGCAAUGUCCAACGAGGAAACUUCCGCCGACCGCAAUGUCGAGAUCUGGAAGAUCAAGAAACUCAUUAAAAGCCUUGAAAUGGCAAGGGGGAAUGGAACCAGCAUGAUUUCCCUCAUAAUCCCGCCACGGGACCAAAUCUCCAGAGUCAGUAAAAUGCUGGCUGAUGAAUUUGGCACGGCGUCGAAUAUUAAGUCGAGAGUAAACAGAUUAUCGGUACUCGGAGCCAUAACAUCGGUACAACAUCGGCUCAAGUUAUAUACUAAAGUCCCUCCCAAUGGCCUGGUAAUAUAUUGUGGAACGAUUGUUACCGAAGAGGGAAAAGAAAAGAAAGUCAACAUUGACUUUGAACCCUUCAAACCGAUAAACACUUCCCUUUAUUUGUGCGAUAACAAGUUCCAUACGGAAGCACUAACAGCCUUGUUGGCGGAUGACAAUAAAUUCGGUUUCAUUGUCAUGGAUGGUAACGGCGCGUUGUUUGGUACUCUGCAGGGUAACACGCGUGAAGUACUUCAUAAGUUUACAGUCGAUCUACCUAAGAAACACGGCAGAGGAGGACAAUCUGCUCUCCGUUUCGCCAGAUUGCGAAUGGAAAAGAGACAUAAUUAUGUUCGAAAAGUGGCUGAAGUUGCCACUCAAUUAUACAUUACGAAUGAUAAACCGAAUAUAGCUGGUCUCAUCCUUGCUGGUAGUGCUGAUUUCAAAACGGAGCUUAGUCAGUCUGAUAUGUUCGAUCCCAGAUUGCAAGCCAAAGUAAUAAAACUCGUAGACGUUUCCUACGGGGGUGAGAAUGGUUUCAAUCAGGCCAUCGAACUAGCGGCCGAGUCCCUCCAAAACGUUAAAUUCAUUCAAGAGAAAAAGCUUAUAGGUCGUUAUUUUGAUGAAAUAUCACAAGAUACGGGAAAAUAUUGUUUCGGUGUCGAAGACACGCUGCGAGCUCUCGAACUAGGAAGCGUCGAAACUCUGAUUUGUUGGGAAAAUCUCGAUAUCCAACGAUACGUGCUGAAAAAUCAUACAAACGCGGAAGAGAAGGUGCUACACCUUACACCCGAACAAGAAAAGGAUAAGACUUAUUUCACCGACAAGGAGAGUGGUGUUGAGCUCGAAUUGGUCGAAUGUCAACCCCUGCUCGAGUGGCUUGCGAACAACUACAAGAGUUUUGGCGCUACCCUAGAAAUAAUAACUGACAAAUCGCAAGAAGGUUCUCAAUUCGUCAGAGGUUUCGGUGGUAUCGGAGGAAUCCUCCGCUACAAAGUCGAUUUCCAGUCACUGCAGGCCGACGAGCCUCUCGAUGACGUUGACCUCGACGAUUACUAAUUAUCCAACUGUGCAAAACAAAACAAAAACCAAACACAAUAAAUACAAAAAAAAAACGUACUCUGAUUCGAAUCCAGCUCGCACAUUUGGAAAGGUAUUUUGCGGUACAAAGUGGACUUUCAAAGUAUGCAGUUGGAUGACAUUGAAAUCGAAAAUUUCGAUCUGGAUGACUACUAAAGAAACUGGAAGAAAUGAACAUCCAUACUUUUGGCAAACUCGAAAUGAUUUACGAUUAAUAAUAAGUAAGAAAAAAGGUAUCCAAAUACGGACACACCGAGCGGCAAAGGGAAAAUGAGAGAGAAAGGGAGGGAAGAGAAAAGCGGGACACUUCAUGGGACAAUUGCAAAGAGCGAAGAAAAAUAACGUGUUUCAAAAAAAAGUUAAUAGAAGUUACUGAUGAAGAAAGAAAGAUUAAAUAUUUUUCCCCCCGAUAUUUCAUCGACCACGAAAUCGUAGCUGUUGAAGAGAUUGAUGGAAUAACGGUUGGGACAAUCUUCAUCGAGUGUACAAAAAUAGUUCGAAAGGAAAAAAAAACAAAACGAAAAGAAAAAACAAAUAUACAAGGCAGACAUAAGGACGUAAUGAAUUAGUAAAAAAAACCACAGUGUGGAAAACAAAUACAGAUUAAACAAGAAGGGCAACUCGAAGACUGUGACACUUAAUUAAGCCAGCUUGAAUACCUGCCUACUACAUUAACAAAGCAAAGGAAACAGAACAAUGAAAAAAAAAAGAGAGAAACUGAAUGAAACUGCAAAAAUAGGAUUAACCAGAAAGGGAUAAUAAAAAUAGCGUUUUGUCUCGCAAAACGUCUGAAUGUGUAGACUAAGAGGCGCUCAUUAGGACACGAAGUCGUUCGAAGGAGUAUUGUGGUGUGUGAUCGAUAUUAAGAUCUAUGAAUUAUUAAUUUUAAUUGGCUGAUAAAAGAUCGGCCGAAUGCGUUUUAAGAUUCCGAGAAUUAUUUCCUCUAGAUUUUUCGGUUGAUCAUUAUUUUUAUAUUACCGAAAAUAUUAGAUGUUGAGUUAUCAAACUGAAUACUGCGUGUUCAAGUUUUUUUUUAUUCACUAAUAUUUCGUUACUCGUUUUCAUAAUUCUGAGCACGCUAACGACAAUUAUUCUGUACAGUCAAGAUUAGACAUCGUCUAAAAACACUGCUGCAAUCAAUUUCCACGAUUAAAUUGCUUUAUGUUCUUUUAAUCUUAUUGGCAUCGAUUUCUUUUUGUAUGAAAUGAGCAAAUUUACCGUUAAACUCAGAUUUUUUUCUCACAUUCUUUUGUCGAUUGAAAAUGCUUUUUUUUUCCUUCCAUUAUCUCUUCAAGUAAUUAUUCAAGUCAACAAUCAUUUGAAGAGAAGGAUAGACGAUACUGUGAAAAAAGUACAAGCCGUUAAAACAGUUAUUUGGUUAUACUCUUGUUUUUUCUUUCGUUUUGUUUUUAUCGAGAAAUGAAAUGAGUGCGCAUUGUCUCGAUGCGAGAUUACUUAACGCACGCGCGGAAGAAAGAAAUGUUAUCCGAUGAUUUUUCGCGCUCCUUUUUCUUAUCGUUCUUCAUGUCUUCAUUAUAAUCAAUUUGUGUGUAUGUACAAAUGUCCGUGGCAAAUGGGUGAUCUUGAAAGAAAAGAAAAACAAAAACAAAACAUGUGCAA